CUUGAAAGCACUGGAAAGGUUGUUAAAGAUUGGUUCAAUGGAACAGUUUCAUUCGAUCGGACUGUAGGAAACCGGACCACCUUUACAUUACUAUAUGAAAGAAGUGCACCCACUGUGUAUAUACAAUCACCAAGUGGUUUGGUUUAUGAUCAGGGACACACCACUAACAGUGUUAAUGUUUUGUAUUGCAAUAAAAGUCAAUGAUUUCAAAAUAAUGUAAUUAAAAAUUAUUCCAUUUCUUUUUUAUCUAUUUUUGCAUGACAGGUGGGUAAAUGGAAAUACAGCUUCUUUAAUACCGAAACAUCUGCUCAGGAAACAAGUUUAUUAGUGUGAUAGGAUUGGCGAGUCCCUUCCUGCUUCCGGAUUAGUCGGUUGAGGUGCUCAUUGAUUGUCCUAUCAUUGGGCAAGGGGGAUGUAUAAAUUUGGCUGGGGAGCAUUUUGUUGUCACGGGUGCUACGCCCCUGUCUGUUUGGGUAAACCUUGCGGCUGGUGUUGGGUUGACGUGUUUCCUCGCGGCAGUGUAUAGUCCGAGGUGAGCCGAAGAGAGAGAGCGGCGUUAAUAAUACCGACAGUGCCUGCCUUUACACAUUGUACUAUGGUGUGGUAGAGCUAUUAAAUCGAGUGAGCCUACGGGUGCACAGAAGUGCUGUGUACGUGAUUUCUGGGAAGACCCCACACACGAUCUACGGAACGAGCCUGCAGCUUUCGGGCUUACCCUUAUAGUAACCUGUGUUUCCGGAUCACUCAUCCCAAGGUUAUGUGUCUUAAAGGAGCUGAGUGCCGAAGGCGGGGCGGAUUGUGGUGGUGGUUUUGCUUCACGAGUGCUGUGCUGUGUGCAGUGGUGGGUGUGAGUGUCUACACAGGUGCAACCAAAAGUUGUGUGGUGCUGUGGAGGCCGAUUAGUGCCCUUGAUCCCCGUUGUUACGCCUUGGCUCCUGCAUUCACAUCUAUAAAGGUGUCUGAUUAUUGAAGUUCUGUGUUAUGGUUGAGUAAUUUCUGUUUUUGGUUUUUCAUUAGGUGCAUCAGAUACUUUUAUCAUUAAUAAAAAAUCCAUACUAAUUUUACCCACGUCUUCCGCUGAUUCUUUAUACACGAACCUGUGUUGCCUAAGUGCAAGUUAUUUUCCCUGGCCAAGUGCCAGGGUGGCGUAGUCGCUACAUUUUCUUUCGUCAG